UGCUCGAGUGGCGAACGGGUGAGUAACACGUGAGUAACCUGCCCUUGACUUUGGGAUAACUUCAGGAAACUGGGGCUAAUACAGGAUAGGAGCUCCUGCUGCAUGGUGGGGGUUGGAAAGUUUCGGCGGUUGGGGAUGGACUCGCGGCUUAUCAGCUUGUUGGUGGGGUAGUGGCUUACCAAGGCUUUGACGGGUAGCCGGCCUGAGAGGGUGACCGGCCACAUUGGGACUGAGAAAUACGGCCCAG
rnacentral:rRNA from 1 species